UUUAAUGAGAGUUUGAUCCUGGCUCAGAACGAACGCUGGCGGCGUGCCUAACACAUGCAAGUCGAACGGAGUCAUUUUGAAGUAGCAAUACGGAAGAAUGACUUAGUGGCGCACGGGUGAGUAACACGUAGGUAACCUGCCCUUAAGAGGGGGAAAACCCGCCGAAAGGCGAGCUAAUACCGCAUAAGACCACGAACUGAGAUGUUUGUGGUAAAAGGAGCAAUCCACUUAAGGAUGGGCCUGCGGCCUAUCAGGUAGUUGGUGAGGUAACGGCUCACCAAGCCUAAGACGGGUAGCCGGUCUGAGAGGACGGACGGCCACACUGGAACUGAGACACGGUCCAGACUCCUACGGGAGGCAGCAGUGGGG
rnacentral:rRNA from 1 species